rnacentral:rRNA from 1 species
UACGGGGGGGGCAAGCGUUGUUCGGAAUUACUGGGCGUAAAGGGCGCGUAGGCGGCCUUCUAAGUCGGACGUGAAAUCCCUCGGCUUAACCGAGGAACUGCGUCCGAGACUGAAAGGCUUGAAUCCGGGAGAGGGAUGUGGAAUUCCAGGUGUAGCGGUGAAAUGCGUAGAUAUCUGGAGGAACACCGGUGGCGAAGGCGGCAUCCUGGACCGACACUGACACUGAGGAGCGAAAGCCAGGGGAGCAAACGGG